UACGUAGGUGGCAAGCGUUGUCCGGAAUUAUUGGGCGUAAAGCGCGCGCAGGCGGUCCUUUAAGUCUGAUGUGAAAGCCCACGGCUCAACCGUGGAGGGUCAUUGGAAACUGGGGGACUUGAGUGCAGAAGAGGAAAGCGGAAUUCCACGUGUAGCGGUGAAAUGCGUAGAGAUCCGGAGGAACACCAAAGGCGAAGGCAGUGUCCUGGGGAGUACCUGACGCUCAGGUGCGAAAGCCAGGGGAGCGAACGGG
rnacentral:rRNA from 1 species